rnacentral:tRNA from 1 species
GGUAAUAUGGCUGAGUAAGCAUUAGACUGUAAAUCUAAGUACAGAGGUGUAUAGUCCUCUUGUUACCA